UUACGGCCAUAUCACGUUGAAGCACCGGUUCCCGUACAAUCACCGAAGUUAACGAACGUUGAGCCUGGUCAAUACCUAGAUGGAUGACAGAUUGGGAAUACCGGAUUCUGUAA